rnacentral:misc_RNA from 1 species
GAAAUGCGAUAAGUAAUGUGAAUUGCAGAAUUCAGUGAAUCAUCGAAUCUUUGAACGCACAUUGCGCCCCCUGGCAUUCCGGGGGGCAUGCCUGUUCGAGCGUCAUUACACCACUCAAGCCUGGCUUGGUAUUGAGCGCCGCGGCCUGCCCGCGCGCUCCAAUGUCUCCGGCUGAUCCGUCCGUCUCUAAGCGUUGUGAAUAGCGAUCGCUUGCGAGGCCCGGGCGGUUCGACGCCGUUAAACCCCCCAUUUUCUAUGGUUGACCUCGGAUCAGGUAGGGAUACCCGCUGAACUUAAGC